GCAGUACAGCAGCUUACCCUGCAAAGACAGCAUGAAUGACGACAGUGCAUCCUAAGAGCCAUCUGUGGCCUCAGAGGAGACAUCCCCACCCAGUCACACUCCGAUGGAGCUCUCCGCCUUCUGGUAGACACAAGGUUCUCCAGGCCACCUUUAAAGUUUACAUUGAAGGCAAGAAAUCAUAGGUCCUCAUGUGGAAUUGGGAUAAAACAUGAAGGUGGGAGAGCUGUGGUCUCAUUUUCAUGUCAAGUAAGUUUACAGGGGCUGAUGGGAGAGGAAGGAGGGUGCUUUGUGCCCCUGUCCUAACCAAGCUCCACUCUGUCCCUGUCUCUGAGGGGUCUCCCUUCUGGUGCUCCCCUCCCAACUCUCCUGCCUCGCUGUGGUGCGCGUAUUCAUUUUCUUCCACACAUCCCCUUUCUUCUUGUUUGGGAGAAGACUCCAGAAAGAGCCAACACAGCCUCCGAUGAGAACCCCUGUGCCUGCACGUGGGUACGAUCAAAGCAGCAAAUGUCCUGAAAGCUUUUUGCACUGUAGGUUACUUUGUAGGCAAGGCCCGCAGAGACAAAAACGUUAACCCUGGAAGAUGACUUGAAAAAUGCUAAAGAAAUAUGAUAAAUUUAUAUCUUUGCAGAAUAACAUUUCUAGUACUAUUACUAUUCUUAUUUCUAUUCAUUAGCUAUACUGUUAUUUUUGUUCACGUUUUCUAAUGAAUCCCAACUUACAUCCAUAAGCUGUUAACAGCUCUUCUGAUGUUGGAGGUCGGUGGGGAUCUUCAUCUUCUCUAGGCUUUAUGAUGUUAAUGCCAUAGGUAGCUUCUAAAACAUGUCUUGGAAUAUUCUGGCAAACGUAGCUUGUCAGGGAAUCCACUCUCUUGAACUGACUCCCUCCUCCCCAAGGCACACGAAACGUGCCUCUAAGAGCAUGGCACUUAAUCACUUGUAUGACGAACACUUUCUCCUCUCCAAAGGAAGAGUAUAGUUAUCGAUUAAUUUUAAAAGACUCAGUUGCUUUUUUUUUCCUUUUAAACAAGGCCUUAAGCUCCCACGACUCUUCCAUAUGAAUUCUUUUAAAAUAAUAAUUUAAAAUAUCUCUGAAACUGACUUUAAAGAUGACACAUUUUUACCCUGAAAAGUAGAUUAUGCAUUUGCGAUUCUAAUGUAGAGAUAAAGCAAGGGGAGUCUCUGUUUCUAAUGUCUACAAUUAUGCAGGAUUACUUUUCCUCCUUUGUCUAAUCUCUCAUAGUUUGUCUGAAUUUUCCUUAAGCCACUAACAAUAUUCUACUUGUACUACAGUUAUUCACGUACAUACCUCACGUGUCCCCAACAGAUUGAUGCUUUGUAUAGGGCAGUAGCCAUCUCUAUUUAUGCCCUAUCUUCCACAGUACCUAACCUAAGGCUACCUGCAAUAAAUAAUUCAUGUCUCACUAUUAAUUUACUGAGAAACUUAAAAGGCCGGGCUCACGCCUGUAAUCCCAGCACUUUGGGAGGUCAAGGCAGGCAGAUUAUUUGAGGUCAAGAGUUUGAGAGGAGCCUGGUCAACAUGGUGAAACCCCAUCUCU